GGGGAAUUUUGGACAAUGGGCGAAAGCCUGAUCCAGCAAUGCCGCGUGCAGGAUGAAGGCCUUCGGGUUGUAAACUGCUUUCAGCAGGGACGAAGGGUUUCUGACGGUACCUGCAGAAGAAGCACCGGCUAACUACGUGCCAGCAGCCGCGGUGAUACGUAGGGUGCGAGCGUUGUCCGGAAUUAUUGGGCGUAAAGCGCACGUAGGCGGAUCGUUAAGUCAGGGGUGAAAUCCUGGGGCUCAACCUCAGAACUGCCCUUGAUACUGGCGAUCUCGAGUUCGAGAGAGGUUGGUGGAACUCCGAGUGUAGAGGUGAAAUUCGUAGAUAUUCGGAAGAACACCAGUGGCGAAGGCGGCCAACUGGCUCGAUACUGACGCUGAGGUGCGAAAGCGUGGGGAGCAAACA
rnacentral:rRNA from 2 species